rnacentral:tRNA from 1 species
UUGGCCCGUGGUGCAAUUGGUAGCACGCCUGACUCUGGAUCAGGAGGUUCUAGGUUCGAGCCCUAGCGGGCCAGU